GAGAUUGUUAUUAAAAGGCCCUCUGAGUUUGAUCUUGCUGAUACACUGCCAUGGGAACUUCAACAUGAAAGCAGUCCUUUACAGAAAGCGGCAGAAUAUGAGAAGGGUGCUGGGGAUCUUGUGCUUGCUAAUGAAGUACAACAGGUCAUAGAUUUGGAAGAAGAAAACGAUACAGGCACUACUGAAUGCCUCACUGUCGAGAGCUCCUGUUACAGAAACUACACACAGCUGUUUGAACCGAUUGUGAUUGAUGAUGAAGAUCCUACUCCUAACGAAGCCAAAGCUGAGCCCCCAGAAGAACCUGUAGACACCAAUUUGCAGGCACAUGAAAUUAUUGCAAAUUUGGC